rnacentral:rRNA from 1 species
AACAAACGCUGGCGGCGUGCCUAAUACAUGCAAGUCGAACGGGGAAAGUAGCAAUAUGAGUACUAGUGGCGCACGGGUGAGUAACGCGUGGAUAAUCUGCCUUGAAGAGGGGGAUAACUAGUCGAAAGAUUAGCUAAUACCGCAUAAGACCACAAGAACUGAGGUUCAAGGGGUCAAAGGUUUUUCGCUUCAAGAUGAGUCCGCGUAAGAUUAGCUAGUUGGUGAGGUAAUGGCUCACCAAGGCAACGAUCUUUAACUGGUCUGAGAGGAUGAUCAGUCACACUGGAACUGAGACACGGUCCAGACUCCUACGGGAGGCAGCGGUAGGGAAUAUUGCACAAUGGAGGAAACUCUGAUGCAGCGACGCCGCGUGAGUGAUGAAGGCCUUCGGGUCGUAAAGCUCUGUCGCAGGGGAAUAACACAAUGAAUGUACCCUGUAAGAAAGGAUCGGCUAACUUCGUG